AAUGAACGCUGGCGGCAGGCCUAACACAUGCAAGUCGAACGAGUGGCGGACGGGUGAGUAAUGUCUGGGAAACUGCCUGAUGGAAGGGGAUAACUACUGGAAACGGUAGCUAAUAACGCCUACCAUCGGUUGUGCCCAGAUGGGAUUAGCUAGUAGGUGGGGUAAAGGCUCACCUAGGCGACGAUCCCUAGCUGGUGUGAUAGGUUGACCGGCAACACUGGACCUGGGAACCGGUCCAGACUCCUCCGGGAGGCAGCAGGGGGGAAUAUUGCACAAUGAGCGAAAGCCUGAUGCAGCCAUGCGGCGUGUAUAAAGCGGGCCUUCGGGUUGUAAAGUACUUUAAGCGGGGAGGCGUUACCCGCAGAGGAAGCCACGGCUAACUACGUGCCAGCAGCCGCGGUAAUUC
rnacentral:rRNA from 1 species